CCUUAUCACUUUUCCUGCCAGCUUUUCCGCUCUGACUGUUGGACGGAGAACUGAUAAGGGU
rnacentral:pre_miRNA from 1 species